AGACCCGAAACCCGGUGAUCUAGCCAUGGGCAGGUUGAAGGUUGGGUAACACUAACUGGAGGACCGAACCGACUAAUGUUGAAAAAUUAGCGGAUGACCUGUGGCUGGGGGUGAAAGGCCAAUCAAACCGGGAGAUAGCUGGUUCUCCCCGAAAGCUAUUUAGGUAGCGCCUCGUGAAUUCAUCUCCGGGGGUAGAGCACUGUUUCGGCUAGGGGGCCAUCCCGGCUUACCAACCCGAUGCAAACUGCGAAUACCGGAGAAUGUUAUCACGGGAGACACACGGCGGGUGCUAACGUCCGUCGUGAAGAGGGAAACAACCCAGACCGCCAGCUAAGGUCCCAAAGUCAUGGUUAAGUGGGAAACGAUGUGGGAAGGCCCAGACAGCCAGGAUGUUGGCUUAGAAGCAGCCAUCAUUUAAAGAAAGCGUAAUAGCUCACUGGUCGAGUCGGCCUGCGCGGAAGAUGUAACGGGGCUAAACCAUGCACCGAAGCUGCGGCAGCGACACUAUGUGUUGUUGGGUAGGGGAGCGUUCUGUAAGCCUGUGAAGGUGUGCUGUGAGGCAUGCUGGAGGUAUCAGAAGUGCGAAUGCUGACAUAAGUAACGAUAAAGCGGGUGAAAAGCCCGCUCGCCGGAAGACCAAGGGUUCCUGUCCAACGUUAAUCGGGGCAGGGUGAGUCGACCCCUAAGGCGAGGCCGAAAGGCGUAGUCGAUGGGAAACGGGUUAAUAUUCCCGUACUUGGUGUUACUGCGAAGGGGGGACGGAGAAGGCUAUGUUGGCCGGGCGACGGUUGUCCCGGUUUAAGCGUGUAGGUGUGUGUUCCAGGUAAAUCCGGUUCACUUUAACACUGAGGCGUGAUGACGAGGCACUACGGUGCUGAAGCAACAAAUGCCCUGCUUCCAGGAAAAGCCUCUAAGCAUCAGGUAACAUCAAAUCGUACCCCAAACCGACACAGGUGGUCAGGUAGAGAAUACCAAGGCGCUUGAGAGAACUCGGGUGAAGGAACUAGGCAAAAUGGUGCCGUAACU
rnacentral:rRNA from 2 species